GGGGCUGUAAGGGUUUUGACGGAAAGUUGCGGUGGCAAGGGUUGCGAGCCGAGGGUGCUAUUUGCCUCGUUAAACACGGUAGCCAACGUUCAUAAAUGCAAACGUAAAAGAAGCAUUAGCGAAUGUGGUUUGGUUUGAGGGACUUGUUCCUUCAUUUGCCGAGCCUGUCGCAGUUGCUGCUUAAUAUAUAAGUAGCCCGUCUCCUGGAUCUGCCGAUAGGUUCAGGGUCAGACGUCAUAAUUUCGGAUACCCGGUCGAUCUCUCCGGUUGGUUGGUUGGGGAAAAUUUAAAUCGGAUAAUCCGGGAAAUUCCUCGCUUUGGGUUAAAUCCUGGAUGAAACAAAAAUAGGAGCUACGCUCGUAGUGACUUUUGCGGCUGCCUUUUCGGACGCGGGUUCGACUCCCGCCAGCUCCACCA
rnacentral:tmRNA from 1 species